UACCCUUUUGCCUUUUGAUCUUAGCCGUCCAUUUUGAUUUAAUAUGGGCCGUCUGUUUUUGAUUAAAUCUGGGCCGUCCGUGCGAUUAAAUCUGGGCCGUCCGUGCGCGCGAUUUAUCUGGACCGUCCGAUCGCGCGCACGCGGAUCGCCAACGUGGCCCGUCCCCGGUCGACGUGGUUUUGCCACGUGGCAAGUCCUGGUUGGCCAGGACUGCUGACGUGGCGC
rnacentral:lncRNA from 1 species